UACAGAGGGUGCAAGCGUUGUUCGGAAUUAUUGGGCGUAAAGGGCGCGUAGGCGGUGCCACAAGUCACCUGUGAAAUCUCCGGGCUUAACUCGGAGCCUGCAGGCGAAACUGUGGUGCUGGAGUGUGGGAGAGGUGCGUGGAAUUCCUGGUGUAGCGGUGAAAUGCGCAGAUAUCAGGAGGAACACCAAUAGCGAAGGCAGCUCGCUGGGACGGUACUGACGCUAAGGCGCGAAAGCGUGGGGAGCGAACAGG
rnacentral:rRNA from 1 species